CAUGGGGACUGAGAGGGAUCCCAAGCCUAAUGUCUCCCAGGGAGCAGCCUUGUGAUGCUGGGACAAGGAUCAGAGGCAGACGUGGCUGAUGGAAAUCAAGGCCUCAGAGAUGAGAUGGCGUACCCUCCCAGCCCUCAUGCGUGUCAGCAGGAGCCAAACCCAGGUUUUAUGACUUUGGACCUCAGGUGGAGCCCACGAAACCAGGACAAAUACAAAUGCCCUGCCCUGCAGCCAAUCUACUUCCUUGUGAAGCCCAAGUGGUCAACUCUAUACAUACAUUGGGUCAGGAUCAAGGUGUGGCACCUUUAGGAAAGUUACUGAACAUCUCUGUGCCUCACUUUCCUCAUCUGUAAAACAGUUGGUAAUCAUGGUAUAUCUGGAUGGGUGACAGCAUCAUAUUGGUAUGUUUAUAAAAUCACAGUAAAUGCUUACAGGAUUUGAAGGGAGACCUGAGAAGCAUGGGUGAGUUCAGUUCUACUCUAGCCAUCGUGUGACCUUGUAGGUGGUUUUGCUUGUUGGAGCCUGUUUCCUUCUCUGUGUAAGAGGCAACAGCCUCAGGGUGCUCAUGUGGAUGUUGUGCAGGAUGAGAUUAAAGCAUGGAAGGGCCUUGGAGAGUACCUCUUCUCAUGCUGCAGCACGCACAUGCAUCCCCAGGGAACCUUGUGAAGAUGCAGGUUAUGGCUUAGUCAUGUGAGGCAUGCUUGCUUUUCUUACAAGCCUCCAAGGGAUGCCAAAGUUGCUGGUUCACGGACCACACUUUGAGUAGCAAGACUGUACCUAAGAAAGCACCAUGCAAGUGCUAUUAACAACGAGUCAUGCAGAGGGCCAUGCUCACAGCCUUCCAGUUACAAGCUCAAAAACUCAAAAAGCUUGGAGGGCCCACUGGGAGUGUCAGCAGGAACCCAUUUGGAGAGUUUUCCCAGGUGGGAGUUUUCUGUCAGGAAAAGGGUUCCUACACCUCUAGCUCUUGAACCCCUAACGGGGCUCUGUUGACAGCUACACCUGAUCUUGGGGCUUUCAAAAGAGGAUGUAAAAAUAUUCUUACAUCUUGCACAUCAAAAUAUACUCAUUCAUAAUUAACUUAUGCAAUUAUUUGAAAAUAAAAAUACACGUUUUAAUUUAAAAAAA